rnacentral:rRNA from 1 species
GAACCUUACCAGGUCUUGACAUCCUUUGAAGCUUUUAGAGAUAGAAGUGUUCUCUUCGGAGACAAAGUGACAGGUGGUGCAUGGUCGUCGUCAGCUCGUGUCGUGAGAUGUUGGGUUAAGUCCCGCAACGAGCGCAACCCUUAUUGUUAGUUGCCAGCAUUCAGAUGGGCACUCUAGCGAGACUGCCGGUGACAAACCGGAGGAAGGCGGGGACGACGUCAGAUCAUCAUGCCCCUUAUGACCUGGGCUACACACGUGCUACAAUGGCGUAUACAACGAGUUGCCAACCCGCGAGGGUGAGCUAAUCUCUUAAAGUACGUCUCAGUUCGGAUUGUAGUCUGCAACUCGACUACAUGAAGUCGGAAUCGCUAGUAAUCGCGGAUCAGCACGCCGCGGUGAAUACGUUCCCGGGUCUUGUACACACCGCCU